CGCUGGCGGCGUGCUUAAUACAUGCAAGUCAACUGAACUUUAGGUAGCAAUAUUUAAAGGGAGGUGGCGCACGGGUGAGUAACACGUAGGUAAUCUGCCUUCAGGACUGACAUAACUCCGCGAAAGCGGGACUAAAAUCAGAUGAUGCAGCGGCUCGACAUCGAGACAGUUGUUAAACCUUCGGGGCCUGAAGAUGAGCCUGCGUCUGAUUAGGUAGUUGGAGGGGUAAUGGCCCACCAAGCCUGCGAUCAGUAGCUGGUCUGAGAGGGUGAUCAGCCACACUGGAACUGAGACACGGUCCAGACUCCUACGGGAGGCAGCAGUAAGGAAUAUUGCUCAAUGGCCGAAAGGCUGAAGCAGCAACGCCGCGUGGAGGAUGAAAUACUUUAGUAUGUAAACUCCUGUAAGAGGGGAAAAAUAUACAGUUCUGCUGUAUUGAUUGUACCCUCAGAGUAAGCACCGGCUAACUACGUG
rnacentral:rRNA from 1 species